UCCCUGGAGGACUAGUGGUUAGGCCACCGUGCUCUAACACUGCGGUCUGGGUUCAAUUCCCGGCCAGAGAG